CUCUCUCUCUCUCUCUCUUUCUCUAUCGCUGCUCACGCGCGCGAGCUUCUGACAGAGAUGCCGCAAUGAGCAUUUCAUCUGUUCUUCUUCAUUCCUCUCCUUUCUCUCUAUACACAUUCCGUCGGUGAGCUUGAUGAGAAAUUCUACGAGCGCGAUAGCGCGGCCGUAAACGCGUCGCGCCGCGUUUCCGUCGUAUCGCGCUUACAUCGGCGACGGUUUACAUCGGGCCCGCUUCGUUUUUCUCGCAGCAUCCUCGUUUUCUCUCGCCUAGCCCUGCAUAUUUUAUUGUUGCGCGCCCGGUUUUCGGGCUAUUAACCGACAUAACGGUGCAGUUUCAUCUCGCGAUAUACUUUCAACGGCGCGAUUAACAAACUCAAUGCUCUUUACGAUGUUUAUUGUUAGCACUUAGCUUAAUUCAUUUUAAUUACGCGUAAAAACGUCGUUCUUUUUGCUUGCCGUAAAACGUUUUUUUUUGUACGUGUCUCAUCGAAGAGAUUUAUGUUGAUAGGACUAAAGUUCGAUUAAAAAAAUUGCUAACGAAUAUUAUGCGCAUAAUAAAUUUGACUGGAUAUAAUAGCGAAUUGCUUUAAUAGACAGCUGCGCCGUGUUAUAUAUACGAGUAAAUAUUUUCUGGAAUGUGACGCGAUUCCUUCAUUCGGGCGUGUCACGAAAGGAAUUCGCGCAGAAAAGGUGGAUGCUAUCGAGUCACAUGCUCGCCAAAUAUUUUUCAUGUUUAUAUCGCCGCAAUUAUUAAGGAAUUUAUGUUCAUUGCGCAAUGACACGCUCAGUGAUGUCGCGGUCUGUGAUUAUGAGUGCAAUCAAAAAGAUAUUAUUUUAGUGAUUUAUUGAAAUUCGGUCUACAAACAUUCCUUUUUAAAUCUGGAGAAUUAAAUUCCAAGAACGGACGAGAUGCAAGUUUCAUUUAUUUCAAUUUAAUUGAAAUUUUAACACAAUAGCUCGAUCAAUAUGCACGUCUUUUUAUAAAAUUAGUUUACACACGAGUUGUAAUUGCUUGAUGAGUAUUUAUCGUUAAAUUACAUGCGAUUUACAUUAUAUACAUAUUGUAUAUACGUAUUGUAUUUACGUUUAUUCAAUUUAUUACCGGAACGUUUACCGCAUAAUAUACACAAUGUCUAUUGUAAUUAUUGUUGAAUAUUUAUUUUAUCAAAUAACAUUAAUAUAUUUAAACAGUGAAGCAUAUAGAUAUAUUUAAUUAUAACACAUCAAAUAUGAGCUUUUAUAUAGUAUCAUGAAUAAACUUUAUGAAAUAAUCUCUUAUAAUUAUCUCAUUGAUAAUAAUUUUUGUUAUGUAAGGAAGAUUCGGCUGAGAAAGCUCGGCUGGAUGGAGAUAAAGAUGUAUUCUUUGCUCUGCUCUAUAGGUAACUCGUGAAAAGCUCUCUCCCAGCUUGCGCAAGCUUCGCAAAUACCAUCCUGUAUUAUCGAUGGAAGUCCUCUUUACCUACCUGUGGGAUCUUAUCAAGAGAUGUAACAGUUGCGCCAAGUAUAAACUUGUAUUUUCUUAUCGACAAAUGAAACUGAUACAAGAGGACGCUACAGGAAGUUACCAUACAUCUUUGACAACUCCUGCUGUUUUAUGUUCACUUAAGAAAACUU